rnacentral:rRNA from 1 species
CCUACGGGGGGCAGCAGUGAGGAAUAUUGGUCAAUGGGCGUAAGCCUGAACCAGCCAAGUCGCGUGAGGGAUGAAGGUUCUAUGGAUCGUAAACCUCUUUUAUAAUGGAAUAAAGUGUGGGACGUGUCCUCUUUUGUAUGUACCUUAUGAAUAAGGAUCGGCUAACUCCGUGCCAGCAGCCGCGGUAAUACGGAGGAUCCGAGCGUUAUCCGGCUUUAUUGGGUUUAAAGGGUGCGUAGGCGGCCUUUUAAGUAAGCGGUGAAAGUCUGUGGCUCAACCAUAGAAUUGCCGUUGAAACUGGGGGGCUUGAGUAGGUUAGAGGCAGACGGAAUGCGUGGUGUAGCGGUGAAAUGCUUAGAUAGCACGCAGAACCCCGAUGGCGAAGGAAGCCUGCCAAGCCAUGACUGACGCUGAUGCACGAAAGCGUGGGGAUCAAACAGGAUUAGAUACCCGAGUAGUC